UACGAGAGGUCCAAACGUUAUUCGGAAUCACUGGGCUUACAGAGUUCGUAGGCGGCUCUACAAGUGAGGUGUGAAAGCCCUCGGCUCAACCGAGGAACUGCGCUUCAAACUGUAAAGCUAGAGGGAGAUAGAGGUGAGCGGAACUGAUGGUGUAGCGGUGAAAUGCGCAGAUAUCAGGAGGAACACCGAUGGCGAAGGCAGGUCUCUGGGCCGCUACUGACGCUGAGAAGCGAAAGCAUGGGGAGCGAACAGG
rnacentral:rRNA from 1 species